GUCUACCGCCACACCAUCCACACUUGAGAUCUGAUCUCAGAAGCUAAGCAGAGGCAGGACUGGUUAGUACUUGGAUGGGAGACCACCUGGAAAUAUUGAGUGGUGUAGGCU
rnacentral:rRNA from 1 species